AUUGAACGCUGGCGGCAGGCCUAACACAUGCAAGUCGAGCGGAUGAGGGGAGCUUGCUCCUGGAUUCAGCGGCGGACGGGUGAGUAAUGCCUAGGAAUCUGCCUGGUAGUGGGGGAUAACGUCCGGACACGGGCGCUAAUACCGCAUACGUCCUGAGGGUGAAAGUGGGGGAUCUUCGGACCUCACGCUAUCAGAUGAGCCUAGGUCGGAUUAGCUAGUUGGUGGGGUAAAGGCCUACCAAGGCGACGAUCCGUAACUGGUCUGAGAGGAUGAUCAGUCACACUGGAACUGAGACACGGUCCAGACUCCUACGGGAGGCAGCAGUGGGGAAUAUUGGACAAUGGGCGAAAGCCUGAUCCAGCCAUGCCGCGUGUGUGAAGAAGGUCUUCGGAUUGUAAAGCACUUUAAGUUGGGAGGAAGGGCAGUAAGUGAAUACCUUGCUGUUUUGACGUUACCAACAGAAUAAGCACCGGCUAACUUCGUG
rnacentral:rRNA from 1 species